GGGGCCGGUCGGCGGGUCGGAGCGCCCGGCCAGGGGCGAGGAAGCGGCCGCGGGAGGGAGGAGGCGCCGGCGAUGUGAGGGGAGGGCAGCGGCCCCUUCCCCGCCAGCCCCGGACCAUGGCGGCCCCCGGAGCCCCUGGAGGAUAUGAUGUGCUGAUUGUGUAUGCAAGUGAUGCUACUGAGUGGUGUCAGUACCUCCAGAACCUCUUCCUCUUUACUCGGCACAUUCGAAAGCAUCGGAUUUUGAGCUACCGGCUGGAAGGCGAGUCUGCCAUCUCCCACCAGGAGCUGGACCUGUUCAACAGAAGUCGGAGCAUCAUCCUUUUGCUAUCUGCUGAGCUGGUGCAGAGUUUUUAUCUCCCUCCUGUCCUGCAGAGCCUUCAGGAAGCUUUGUGGCCCCCGUACAAAGUAGUCAAGCUGUUCUGUGGUGUUACGGACUGUGAUGACUAUUUGACCUUUUUCAAGGACUGGUCUCAGUGGCAAGAACUCACAAAUGAUGAUGAGCCUGAUGCUUACCUUGCAGCUGUCAAGAAGGCUAUUUCAGAAGACUCAGGCUGCGACUCUGUGACUGAUACGGAAACAGAAGACGAGAAGAACCCAGUUUACUCUGACAGACUUGCCAUGAGUGAAGAACAUGGAUCAUCCAAGAGCACUGGGGACCAUCCAGUGGUGCAGCCUGACCGCAUACGGUGUGGGGUGCAGACAACAGUUUAUAUUAUCAUGAAAUGUAAACUAGAUGGUGAAGUGAAAACUGAAGUUGAGUUCUCUCCAGAGAAUGCAUCGUCUGUGCGUGUGCUGGCUGAGAUGGAGAAUGAGUACACAAUCUCUGUGGAGGCUCCAAAUUUAACCUCUGGGACCGUGCCUCUGCAGAUAUAUUCAGGGGACUUGAUGGUGGGAGAAACAAGCGUCACUUAUCAUACCGACAUGGAAGAAAUCAGCAGUCUGUUGGUUAAUGCGGCCAACCCAGUACAGUUCAUGUGCCAGGCCUUUAAAAUCGUGCCAUACAGCAUAGAAGCACUGGACAAACUGUUGACUGAGUCACUGAAGAAGAACAUUCCUGCCAGUGGCUUGCACCUGUUUGGAAUCAACCAGCUGGAAGAAGAAGAUAUGACAACAAAUCAGAGGGAUGAGGAGUUGCCAACACUGCUUCACUUUUCUGCAAGAUAUGGGCUGAAGAACCUCACUGCCUUGCUGCUUACGUGUCCUGGAGCACUGCAGGCCUACAGUGUAGCCAACAAAUAUGGCCACUAUCCAAACACCAUAGCAGAAAAGCAUGGCUUUAAGGACCUUCGCCAAUUCAUUGAUGAAUACGUGGAAACUGCAGAUAUGCUGAAGACUCACAUUAAGGAAGAGCUGAUGCAAGGCGAGGAGGAUGAGUCUGUUUAUGAGUCCAUGGCUCAUUUGUCCACUGACCUGUUAAUGAAAUGUUCCUUGAAUCCUGGCUCCGAUGAAGAGCUUUAUGAAUCCAUGGCUGGAUUUGUCCCUGGUGCCUCAGAAGAUCUCUAUGUAGAGAUGCUUCAGUCCAAACCAGACACACCAGUUGACAGAGAUGAAGUUUCUCUAACUACGAAAGACUCAAUGCUCCGCAAGUUUUUAGAAGGCAGUAGCAUAGAUGUGCCAGAUUCAGAGGAAGAAGUUUACCAGCGGUACGGUGAAGAUGUAUACUACUCAGUGGAACAAGAUACUUUUCCGCAGGAAAUGGCUAGCAGACCUCCAGUUCCUGUUCCAAGACCAGAAUCCAGCUCUCCACAGCCGGACAAUGAGCUGUACAUCUCCAAAAUUUUUGCACAGAAAGCUCAAAGACCUGAGAAUCUCUAUGUUCCUAGAGGAAGGGUUAAGAAAGAGACAAUAGUCAGGCCUGUAAGGGACCUGUCUCAAUCAAGCAUAUACGAUCCAUUUGCUGGAAUGAAAACCCCAGGUCAACGGCAGCUGAUUACGUUACAGGAGCAAGUGAAAAUGGGCAUACUCACCGUUGAUGAAGCUGUGCUUCAUUUUAAGGAGUGGCAACUGAACCAGAAAAAGAGAUCAGAAUCAUUCCGGUUCCAGCAGGAAAAUCUGAAACGGCUACGAGACAGCAUAACCAGGAGGCAAAUGGAGAAGCAAAAAAAAGACAAAAGUGCAGAUUUGGAAAUUACAGUACCAAUUCGACAUUCUCAUAAUACUUUGGGGAAACCAGAAUGUGGAAUAUAUGAAUACGCUCCCAGGAAAAACUUUUUCCCACCAAAAAAGGAGUUUAAGCGAGGAGACUGGAAAACAGAAAGCACAUCCAGCACAACAAGUAGUGCAAGUAACCGCUCCAGCACUCGGAGCAUAUUGAGUGUCAGCAGUGGAAUGGAAGGGGACAGUGAGGACAAUGAAGUCCCAGAAACAACUAGAAGCCGCAGCCCAGUCGCCCACCAAGCAGAGCGGAUGCCUUUUCCAGAAAGGCCUCCCAGAGUGCCUCCUCGAGGAGCAAGCAGGCCUGUAAGCUGCGAAGGCUUUUAUCCUCCACCUGUGCCGCCAAGAGGUCGCUGAAUCUCUCAAUAUCUGUGGAAUAUGAGAUUUUUCUGUUUGUAUGUGUGUUUGUACAGAUAUUUUUGGGUUGUCUUAAAUUAUUUAUCAGUGGGAGCCAAACGUUUUCUUCCCCUUCCUUCUCCCUAAAGCUCUGGUGACUUUUCCCAUGAUUUUCACUGAGACUUCUUGGCCUUCUGUAACUUUUUUGCUUGGAAGAAUUUUGGUGCUUUGGGGACUUCAAGAAAAAGUAUCAUGGUUGGGAAGGAGAACGCUGAUGCGUGUCUUGGCAGCCCUGCACCAACAUGAAAUUUCCCUUUGACCAAGAAAGAACACAUGUCCUUUUAGAAACUAAUUCCUGAUAAGCAUUGUUACGAAAACCCUCGAUACAACCUACAAGGGCUUGACUGGAAAACAUGCUUGAAAAAGUAAAGAAAAUAAUUUCUUUGAAGACUGUGUUUGAAGAACAAUUAUUGCAGCGGGAGCAGGUGAACUUACUGCUGUAUGGUGUUACACUUUGGGUACGGAUAUACUGACUUUCCAGAAGGUGUAGAAUCUCCCUCCAGCAAUCAUUAACCAUGGGAGGAUAAGAAGUUGCCUUUAUUUGAGAAUGUAUUUUGCAUACAGCCUUGAAAACGCCUUUGAUUUUCCCCUUUCCCUCCCUGAAGCGGACAGACAUUAACAGGGUGUUGUGUGUGCUGCAUUUACCAUGAAAAUUCCCAAGGCAGCUGCUCAGUGUAUGGACUCUGUGUAGACUCCAGUUGUGCUGGUGAGCACGUGGUGUGCAUUGCUUCCACCCAAGAUGAGAAGUGCACUGAAACAGAAGCUCAGAAGCCACGAGAGAACAAAACUGCAUGCAACCAGAUUGUUGGUUACUCAAGGAAUAUGGUUGGGGGUGGGAGAGUGGGAAUGAAGCGUGUUUCCGUCAAACAUUAGAACUCGAGGACUGAACAGAUAAUAAAAUUGCUGGUAAAAAGUAAAUGGCCUGGCCACCUGUAGAGGCAUCAACCAAUCCACUAAGCUCAGGUGGCAGCUGGCUGCCCUGGGGAAAGCGUUUGCUCUUUGCACAGCCUGCCUCACAAAACUGCCAUAGCAGAUGGCUCUGGCUGGCCCCGUUGUUGACUGAGAGACUUAAGCACUGAAUAAACGGAAGAUGUUGAAGCCUCCUCUCUCUGUCUCCCAAGGGUAAGCUACUCUGUUUUGGACUGAGAUGCAAUGACUGGAAAGAAACAUAUGGUGUUAGCAAAGCUGUCUAGUUGUGUUUAUUUGGUUGGGGUUUUUUAAGAUAAACAGGGGUUUUGAAUGGGUUUUGACAAGUAUCUCACUCUACAGAGACCUUGCUUCUACUGAAAUAAGCAGGAGACUGCAAAUGUACUAUUUGGAAAAGUCUUCAUAUAAACAUAGCUUGCAAAAUUAUGUUCGGGGAAGGUAGGCUGAAUGUGUAAGACCACGAGGGGAAAACCUUUUCGUACAGGUGUGGUGGAAAUGGUGAACCGGGAAAUCUGUUUUUGCAUCGUUCCUACAAAGCAUGGGUGGCGUGUAACAGCACGGAGCAGCUCCUGCAUUCAGCUCAUGUCCUUCAUUGUCUAUGUAUUUGUUGGCUUGUGCAAUAUUUGAGAAGAUGGUGUAGCCCCUGUUUUUAUUUUUUUUUAAUAUUAUGCCUGAUAGCAUCUGAAAAUUUUUUCUGUAUUUGUUCAG